rnacentral:snRNA from 1 species
GGAUAUAAGGACAAUCUGGCUGUGACAUCUGUCACUUCACUGUUUGCCAGAGUUGAUUUGGCUGAUCUGGCUGGCUAGGUGGGUGUCUCCUUCCUCCCUCACCACUCCAUGUGUGUCCCUCCCAAAGCUGCACACUCGGUCAAAGACGACCAUCCCCAAUAGAGGAGGACUGGUCUUCAGUCAAGGGUAUACAAGUAGCUGCACUCUUCUGCUAGAACCUCCAAACAAGCUCUCAAUAUAUGUAUUUGAUUUUUUUUUUUUUUUUUUUGAGACGGAGUUUCGCUCUUGUUACCCAGGCUGGAGUGCAAUGGCGCGAUCUUGGCUCACCG